rnacentral:rRNA from 1 species
CACGUAGGAGGCGAGCGUUGUCCGGAAUCAUUGGGCGUAAAGAGCGCGCAGGCGGCUUGGCAAGUCGGGUGUGAAAUCCCGGGGCUCAACCCCGUGACUGCAUCCGAUACUGUCAGGCUAGAGGUAGGUAGGGGAGAUCGGAAUUCCUGGUGUAGCGGUGAAAUGCGCAGAUAUCAGGAAGAACACCGAUGGCGAAGGCAGCUCUCUGGGACGGUACUGACGCUGAGACGCGAAAGCGUGGGGAGCGAACAGG